GUGCAAUAGGUUCAAAGAGCAAAUUUGAACCCCGAGGAUGGGGUGACAAAGACUUUUAAAGCUUUCCCACCAUAUCCCAGAAUACAGUUCGUACAGCAUCAUUGCUACAUCACUGACAUGUCACAAAAGGGGAGAGGUUAACCUUGGCAAACAUGUCCAGACAAGUCCUUGGUACAAGAUUAGCAUAAGCAGACAUGGCAGAGCAAGACUCAGGUGUAAGAUUAGCAUAGACAAAUAUGUCUUAAGUACCCACCACCCAAAAGUACAAUAGAAGUUCCUUUGCAUGUCUGGAGCCUGAGGCGAGUCAGGUGAUGAGAUUUGGCUUCCUUUGGCUAACAAGGAGCCCAGCAAUUGUCACCUCUGAGAACUUCCUGCAGUCCCUUUUCAAGGGGAAAAUAGCUUUGGAAUGGAGGAAACUGGGAAAGGAGAUGAUUUUAUAUUAUUUUUAAAGCUAGGUAACUUCCCUGAGCUGUCAAGUUGAAAGGAUACAUUCAGGCAUAAUAUUUGUAAUAUUUAACUUUAAAGAUGUGGGGCCCCCCCUGUAAUUUCCGUAACAUUUGCUACAGCCCUACACCUUUCCUAUUCACUUAACAUGCAGCAACCUUGUUAAACUUGUCUUCAAAAUGUUUCUGCCUGUCUUACAUUGCAUCUGCAACUGACAUGCAGGUUUUAUUUUGUCCCUUUUUACAGACUGGGCGUGUCUUCAGAGGAUGAAACCAAAGCCACUUCUGCUGUUUCUGCACCUCCUUCUGCUGCCCUUUCUCUCCUUCCUAUCACUCUAAUAAAAACAACCCUUUUAUCUCUAAAUUUGAUCCAAAAGAGCAACCUCGGGACACUGAUAGGUUUGCUAGUGACAACAAUCCGUUCACUAUAAAAUGGGGACAGAAAUCCAUGCAAGAUACUGAAUGCUUUAUAGCUACUUCUUCUGCUUCUGGGAAUGAAAAUAAACCAAUUGCUCCUAAAAGGGAACAAGAAUCCCAGAUAGAGGAUUCUUCAAACUCUGCUAAGUCUCCCCUGCCUGUUCCUGCAACUUCUGUUCUUGAGUGGGAGCCUUCUGCUUUUCAGCUUUUUGAUAUUGAUAAUCCUCCCGUGUCUAAAGUGGGAGAGGACUCUGAAAGUUUUAACAGUCCUCCAGCAUCUUUCUCUACUUCCUCCUUAGCAGGAAACCUUGAUGAUUCCAAGCAGGUUCAUGUUGUGCCUUCAGAGAAGCCCCAAAAGGAAGGUUUAACUAAUCAGAUAGAUCCUGGCAAUUUGAUCCCUGGAGAUCUGAAUGUAAAACCCACCACCCUUUCUGUUAUUCCAGAAGUGGGAUUGGAUGAUGAGCAGCUGAGUGAUUAUCCCCAGGGUACUGAAAAGAUUGCGGUUUCUGGAGAUUUGUGCAGGAGUGGAGAUGGUUCCUCAGAGUUACGGUCCUCCAUUGAGGGGGGAGAGCUGACAGCAAAUAAAAAGGUGACUGGUGAUUGGCGGAAAUGACUGGCAGAAUCCGAGACCAGGGAGAAGAGUCGGUGGAAGAAGAUUGGAAGAAAUUUAAAGACUACUUACAGAAAUAUUGUAAAAUUAAUGAAUGUUAGAAUGAUGUCGAAUUGAAGUUAAGUGGUUUCUAGCUGUAAUGGUAUAAAAGAAUAUGGAAAAAUUGGUUUUUAAUAUGUAAAAUUUAAUGUCAUAAUAUAUUAAGAUUAAAGAUCAGGAGUAAAAAGGAGGGAAAGGAAUUGCUGGACUAACAAAUUGAACUGGAAUACAAAAGAGGGAGGUAUGAGGAGGUCCGGGAAACAAGUAAAUGUAAGAGAAGUGAGGAAAAGAUGGAAUUGUUUUUAACUGUUUUCUCUUUUUGUACUUUGUAUUUUUCCUUUUUAUUGUUAAUUUUCUUAUUAAUGUAAUUUUUUUCUUUUGAAAUUUUAAUAAAUAUCAUUAAAAAAAAAAAAGGUGACUGGUGAGAGGCAGACUGUAUCGCUUCUCAUGAAGACAAGUGCUCCUGAUGAUGGAUUUGAACUAAACAAACCAUUGGUUGCACCUUCAGCACUAGCCCUUGAAAAUGCAAGCCAUGAGGUAAAGGGAUUGGAGCAGAAGAAUGCUGACAGCUUAAAAGAAAAUAGACAGGGUGAUAGUCCUGAGUUCUCUGUUAAGCCUGUUCAUCUUUCCCCUCUGCCCAGUUCUUCUCACUCUAUUAGUUCUUUCCAAUCUGAUGCUUCUGGCUGUAAUAGAGCAGAACCUACGAAAAAAGCUACAGCAGAGGGCUUGGGUACCAAAGUGGAUCCCUCUGGCAAGAAGAAGCUGCUCCAGGCAUGGGUUUCACCCUCUGAAACACAUCCCAAUCAGAAUCUGCAGAGUGACGGAACUUAUCCUGCUAAGCUCAGGUGAGAGGAAUUGCGGGGGGUGGGGGGAUUAAAGAUAAAGACUCAAGUGCUAUACUGUGCAUGGCUUUGAUUCUUCCCUCCCCUUUUUAAUGCAGUAAGGGAUUUUGUGUCCUAUGGACAGGUGAAAAUCUUUCCCUGUUGAUCUGUAUCUAUUUCUUGUAGCAAUGUCAAUGAAGGAAUAAAAUUGAGCAAAGGUUUGUUUUGCUUAGGCAGUAAUCAGACUCUAUUUUCACAUUGUUGUGACAUGACAAUAAAGCUAUCAUAAACUGGAACCAGCACUUCAUAUUUUACCUCUAAUUUUACUUUAUUUUUUAAACCCACUGUCCUGUUAAAAUACUAAAUAUAGUUUUCAUGUUCUGCCAAAAUAAGUGAAAGCAGCAGUUGGAUAAAUGCUUAACUUUUUUUAAAAGCGAUGUUAGUUGUGAUCAUAAGUGCAGUGCAAUUUACUGUGGCACAGGUUUUGUGUUGCCUAGAUUUCUGAAGUGUUCCACGGGUAUAAUUUAACUAAAAAAGAAAUCAGGGCAAACUUUUGCAAUAAACUUUGUUGAAAACUCUAUUUUUCACACUUGCUAAACAUCUGGGUAACUACACAAAUAUCCAAGGAACCAACCCUAUUUUAUGGUGGGGGGGAGGGAGAGGAACAGAUGUUUUGAACCAUCAAGAGUGUCAGACUAGGAUUCCACUCAGUGAUGGGCCAGUCUCUUAUCUCUAUGUCUAACCUACUUCACAGGGUGGUAGUGAGGAAAAUGGGGGGGGGGAUGUAUUCAGGGUCCUUGAAGGGAUAUAAAUAAAUAGGAAAGUAAAACUUUUCAUUUGAGAGCUUCUAAAUCAGUCUUGAAGUGUAGAGAGGAGGGCAGAAUAAAUCUUCUAACAGUAAAUAUAAAAUCUAAACUUGCACUAAUAGAGGUACAUAGAAGCGGAAAAUGUACUUUAUUCUUUUUAGAAGCCAAAGCAGAAACAUGUGUGCAUGCGGUGCUUCAUGCAAGACCAAAAGUAAAGCUAAAGGUAAAGGGACCCCGGCUGUUAGGUCCAGUUGUGGCUGACUCUGGGGUUGCUGCGCUCAUCUCACUUUAUUGGCCAAGGGAGCCGGCGUACAGCUUCCAGGUCAUGUGGCCAGCAUGACUUAAGCCGCUUCUGGCGAAACCAGAGCAGCACACGGAAACGCCGUUUACCUUCCCGCUGGAGCGGUACCUAUUUAUCUACUUACACUGUGUGCUUUCGAACUGCUAGGUUGGCAGGAGCAGGGACCGAGCAAUGGGAGCUCACCCCGUCGCGGGGAUUCGAACCGCCGACCUUCUGAUCGGCAAGUCCUAGGUUCUGUGGUUUAACCCACAGCGCCACCCGCAUCCCUUCAGACCAAAAGGAGAACUGCACAAAAUUGUUCAGGUACAAAGUACUAUAGGAUUGCCUGAACUAAUUGUGUGUGCUUCUUUCAGACGUCAUCCUGUGAAACCAAUGCAUACUACAACGAGCAAAUCAUCUGCAACAACCAGAGCAUAACAUCAAAGAUCUUGGAUAACCAAAAUGAAGCCGAUAUAAAGGUAAUAUGAGACAUACUAUAUUUUAAAACCUAAUUGGGUGGUCUGUGCCUUGAGUUAGGAAGCUUGUAAAUUUAUUGGCGGGAUUAGACAAACUGCAAAGGGGUAUAGUCAUUUGGAGACAGAAAUGUGUUCAAGUUUUCUAGGUGUACGAUUCCCCCUGCCCCUGCUAUCCUACUGAUCUGGGCAAUUUUCUGAGCCUUUUACUGACACAAGUUUAGAUCUGUGAGUGGGUAUGAAUUCCCCAGGCUCAAAACUUGCUAUCUUCACCAAAGGACUUUGGCCUGAAAGGGAUUUUUGUUUUCAGAUAAGCAAGGUUUAGUGAUUUAGUGCCUCCAACUAAUAUUGCAAAUGAUCUGUUUG